UGGACAGAUUAUUGUAUUCGACUGUAUUCACGGCGUGAAACAGGGGAUUACACUGUUUUUAAACGGAAAGUGAAUCAAUUAACAUAAUCGACUCCU
rnacentral:pre_miRNA from 1 species